rnacentral:rRNA from 1 species
UACGAAGGGGGCUAGCGUUGCUCGGAAUCACUGGGCGUAAAGGGUGCGUAGGCGGGUCUUUAAGUCAGGGGUGAAAUCCUGGAGCUCAACUCCAGAACUGCCUUUGAUACUGAAGAUCUUGAGUCCGGGAGAGGUGAGUGGAACUGCGAGUGUAGAGGCGAAAUUCGUAGAUAUUCGCAAGAACACCAGUGGCGAAGGCGGCUCACUGGCCCGGUACUGACGCUGAGGCACGAAAGCGUGGGGAGCAAACAGG